rnacentral:lncRNA from 1 species
CUCUAGGGGUCUAUAGGGAUGUUCUCCUACGUGUGAACCUAAUAUCAAACUUGUCGAUUAUCCUGCCGUCCCCAUACCCCAUUCGGUAUGAGUGCCAAAAUGUCAUCCCUCGAUACCCCGUUCGAUAUGAGGGUGAACCGAGCCGUCUUCAUACCUUGUCUGGUAUGAAUGCUAAAAAUAUCAUCCUUCGAUACCCUAUCUGGUAUGAGGUGAUGUUCACGGUAGGGUUCUCUAUGUACCCGUUCUGUCCACCAUAUCUCAGGAUAUCCAGUAAGAUAACCAUUUAUUAAUUCACAUCAUCAAGCAAUUUUCCAUCUAUAUAUUAAUUUUACGUUUCACAAUCAACCGUAAUCAUGUAAAACAAGCGAUAUAUGUAUCAAUGAAAUACAACUGAAUCAUUUAACUAUUUCAAUAUAUUAUCAUGUAUUUAAAGUUGUAUAAGUAAA